rnacentral:rRNA from 1 species
CUACGGGGGGCACCAGUGGGGAAUAUUGGGCAAUGGGCGCAAGCCUGACCCAGCAACGCCGUGUGAGGGAUGAAGGUCUUCGGAUUGUAAACCUCUGUCAGAAGGGAAGAAGUGCAUAGGGUCCAAUAGGCCUUAUGUUUGACGGUACCUUCAGAGGAAGCACCGGCUAACUCCGUGCCAGCAGCCGCGGUAAUACGGAGGGUGCAAGCGUUAUUCGGAAUUACUGGGCGUAAAGCGUACGUAGGCGGCGAGGUAAGUCAGGUGUGAAAUCCCACGGCUCAACCGUGGAACUGCACUUGAAACUGCUUUGCUCGAGUACUGGAGGGGAUGGCGGAAUUCCUGGUGUAGGAGUGAAAUCCGUAGAUAUCAGGAGGAACACCGGUGGCGAAGGCGGCCAUCUGGACAGUAACUGACGCUGAGGUACGAAAGCGUGGGGAGCAAACAGGAUUAGAUACCCGGGUAGUC